GACGAACGCUGGCGGCGUGCUUAACACAUGCAAGUCGAACGGAAAGGCCCUGCUUUUGUGGGGUGCUCGAGUGGCGAACGGGUGAGUAACACGUGAGUAACCUGCCCUUGACUUUGGGAUAACUUCAGGAAACUGGGGCUAAUACCGGAUAGGAGCUCCUGCUGCAUGGUGGGGGUUGGAAAGUUUCGGCGGUUGGGGAUGGACUCGCGGCUUAUCGGCUUGUUGGUGGGGUAGUGGCUUACCAAGGCUUUGACGGGUAGCCGGCCUGAGAGGGUGACCGGCCACAUGGGGACUGAGAUACGGCCCAGACUCCUACGGGAGGCAGCAGUGGGGAAUAUUGCGCAAUGGGCGGAAGCCUGAUGCAGCAACGCCGCGUGCGGGAUGACGGCCUUCGGGUUGUAAACCGCUUUCGCCUGUGACGAAGCGUGAGUGACGGUAAUGGGUAAAGAAGCACCGGCUAACUACGUG
rnacentral:rRNA from 1 species